rnacentral:rRNA from 1 species
UACGAAGGGGGCUAGCGUUGCUCGGAAUCACUGGGCGUAAAGCGCACGUAGGCGGAUUGCUAAGUCAGGGGUGAAAUUCUGGAGCUCAACUCCAGAACUGCCCUUGAUACUGGCGGUCUCGAGUCCGGGAGAGGUGAGUGGAACUGCGAGUGUAGAGGUGAAAUUCGUAGAUAUUCGCAAGAACACCAGUGGCGAAGGCGGCUCACUGGCCCGGUACUGACGCUGAGGUGCGAAAGCGUGGGGAGCAAACAGG